AUUGAACGCUGGCGGCAGGCCUAACACAUGCAAGUCGAGCGGAUGAAGGGAGCUUGCUCCUGGAUUCAGCGGCGGACGGGUGAGUAAUGCCUAGGAAUCUGCCUGGUAGUGGGGGAUAACGUCCGGAAACGGGCGCUAAUACCGCAUACGUCCUGAGGGAGAAAGUGGGGGAUCUUCGGACCUCACGCUAUCAGAUGAGCCUAGGUCGGAUUAGCUAGUUGGUGGGGUAAAGGCCUACCAAGGCGACGAUCCGUAACUGGUCUGAGAGGAUGAUCAGUCACACUGGAGCGGGAACGCGGUCCAGAGGCCUGCGGGAGGCAGCAGUGGGGAAUAGUGGGCAGUGGGCGAAAGCCUGAUCCAGCCAGGCCGCGUGUGUGAAGAAGGUCUUCGGAGUGUAAAGCACGUUAAGUUGGGAGGAAGGGCAGUAAGUUAAGACCUUGCUGUUUUGACGUUACCAACAGAAUAAGCACCGGCUAACUUCGUG
rnacentral:rRNA from 1 species